GAGUUUGAUCCUGGCUCAGGAUGAACGCUGGCGGCGUGCCUAAUACAUGCAAGUCGAGCGAACAGAUAAGGAGCUUGCUCCUUUGACGUUAGCGGCGGACGGGUGAGUAACACGUGGGUAACCUACCUAUAAGACUGGAAUAACUCCGGGAAACCGGGGCUAAUGCCGGAUAAUAUUUAGAACCGCAUGGUUCUAAAGUGAAAGAUGGUUUUGCUAUCACUUAUAGAUGGACCCGCGCCGUAUUAGCUAGUUGGUGGGGUAAUGGCUUACCAAGGCAACGAUACGUAGCCGACCUGAGAGGGUGAUCGGCCACACUGGAACUGAGACACGGUCCAGACUCCUACGGGAGGCAGCAGUAGGGAAUCUUCCGCAAUGGGCGAAAGCCUGACGGAGCAACGCCGCGUGAGUGAUGAAGGUCUUCGGAUCGUAAAACUCUGUUAUUAGGGAAGAACAAAUGUGUAAGUAACUGUGCACGUCUUGACGGUACCUAAUCAGAAAGCCACGGCUAACUACGUGCCAGCAGCCGCGGUAAUACGUAGGUGGC
rnacentral:rRNA from 1 species